CAGAGUUGCAAAACUCCCCAAACCAUCGUGAACCUUUACCGCUAAACAGUUGCUUCGGCGGGUGGCCCGCGGGUGUGCGCAAGCCGCGCCCCCGGGGGCCGCCGAGCCCGCCGGAGGAAUCCAAAAAACCAUCGCUUUCAGUACCGGCCUCUCUGAGUUACUGUACUUUUAAUUAAGUCA
rnacentral:misc_RNA from 1 species